rnacentral:rRNA from 1 species
GAAGUAAAAGUCGUAACAAGGUUUCCGUAGGUGAACCUGCGGAAGGAUCAUUAUCGUAUAACAGAGAUGCCCAGGGCUGUCGCUGACCUUCACAGGUCGUGCACGCCCAAAGCUGCUCUCUUAUGUCCAUCUCACCCCUUUGUGCAUCACCGCGUGUGCCCCCCCCUUAUUGGGCUUGUUCCAAAGGGGCGGUUCACGUUUUAACACAGACACCGAUCUUUAAGAGCAUGUGUAGAAUGUCUUACUUUUUGCGAUUAUGCGCAAUUAAUACAACUUUCAACAACGGAUCUCUUGGCUCUCGCAUCGAUGAAGAACGCAGCGAAAUGCGAUACGUAAUGUGAAUUGCAGAAUUCAGUGAAUCAUCGAAUCUUUGAACGCACCUUGCGCCCCUUGGUAUUCCGAGGGGCACACCCGUUUGAGUGUCGUGAACACCCUCAACCUUCUUGGUUUCUUGACCAGGAAGGCUUGGACUUUGGAGGUUUUCCUUGCUGGCCUUCCUUUGAAGCCAGCUCCUCCUAAAUGAAUUAGUGGGGCUCGCUUUGCCGAUCCUUGACGUGAUAAGUAUGCUUCUACGUCUUGGGUUUUGAACGAACCCGCUUCGAACGGUCUUUGAACAAAGACAACGUUCGAGUUGCAUUGCGACUCGAACACAGCGACCUUGACCUCAAAUCGGGUGAGACUACCCGCUGAACUUAAGCAUAU